CAAUAGCGUAUAUUAAAGUUGUUGCAGUUAAAAAGCUCGUAGUUGGAUUUCUGGUGGGAGCGAUCGGUCUGGCGCUUAGCGCGAGUACUUGCAUCGUCUCCGGCCAUCCUUGGGGAGAGUCUGUCUGGCAUUAGGUUGUCGGGCAGAGGACCUUCAUCGUUUACUGUGAAAAAAUUAGAGUGUUCAAAGCAGGCUUAUGCCGUUGAAUAUAUUAGCAUGGAAUAAUAAGAUAGGACUUUGGUACUAUUUUGUUGGUUUGCGCACCAAAGUAAUGAUUAAUAGGGACAGUUGGGGGUAUUCGUAUUCCGUUGUCAGAGGUGAAAUUCUUGGAUUUACGGAAGACGAACUACUGCGAAAGCAUUUACCAAGGAUGUUUUCAUUAA
rnacentral:rRNA from 1 species